AGAGUUUGAUCCUGGCUCAGGAUGAACGCUGACAGAAUGCUUAACACAUGCAAGUCUACUUGAAUUUGGGUUUUUAACUUAGAUUUGGGUGGCGGACGGGUGAGUAACGCGUAAAGAACUUGCCUCACAGCUAGGGACAACAUUUAGAAAUGAAUGCUAAUACCUAAUAUUAUGAUAAUAGGGCAUCCUAUAAUUAUGAAAGCUAUAUGCGCUGUGAGAGAGCUUUGCGUCCCAUUAGCUAGUUGGAGAGGUAACGGCUCACCAAGGCGAUGAUGGGUAGCCGGCCUGAGAGGGUGAACGGCCACAAGGGGACUGAGACACGGCCCUUACUCCUACGGGAGGCAGCAGUGGGGAAUAUUGGACAAUGGACCGAGAGUCUGAUCCAGCAAUUCUGUGUGCACGAUGAAGUUUUUCGGAAUGUAAAGUGCUUUCAGUUGGGAAGAAAAAAAUGACGGUACCAACAGAAGAAGUGACGGCUAAAUACGUGCCAGCAGCCGCGGUAAUACGUAUGUCACGAGCGUUAUCCGGAUUUAUUGGGCGUAAAGCGCGUCUAGGUGGUUAUGUAAGUCUGAUGUGAAAAUGCAGGGCUCAACUCUGUAUUGCGUUGGAAACUGUAUAACUAGAGUACUGGAGAGGUAAGCGGAACUACAAGUGUAGAGGUGAAAUUCGUAGAUAUUUGUAGGAAUGCCGAUGGGGAAGCCAGCUUACUGGACAGAUACUGACGCUGAAGCGCGAAAGCGUGGGUAGCAAACAGGAUUAGAUACCCUGGUAGUCCACGC
rnacentral:rRNA from 1 species